UGGGGAAUAUUGCACAAUGGGCGCAAGCCUGAUGCAGCCAUGCCGCGUGUAUGAAGAAGGCCUUCGGGUUGUAAAGUACUUUCAGCGGGGAGGAAGGGAGUAAAGUUAAUACCUUUGCUCAUUGACGUUACCCGCAGAAGAAGCACCGGCUAACUCCGUGCCAGCAGCCGCGGUAAUACGGAGGGUGCAAGCGUUAAUCGGAAUUACUGGGCGUAAAGCGCACGCAGGCGGUUUGUUAAGUCAGAUGUGAAAUCCCCGGGCUCAACCUGGGAACUGCAUCUGAUAAUGGAAAGCUUGAGUCUCGUAGAGGGGGGUAGAAUUCCAGGUGUAGAGGUGAAAUGCGUAGAGAUCUGAAGGAAUACAGGUGGCGAAGGCGGCCCCCUGGACGAAGACUGACGCUCAGGUGCGAAAGCGUGGGGAGCAAACAGG
rnacentral:rRNA from 1 species